AUUGAACGCUGGCGGAAUGCUUUACACAUGCAAGUCGAACGGCAGCACGGACUUCGGUCUGGUGGCGAGUGGCGAACGGGUGAGUAAUGUAUCGGAACGUGCCCAGUCGUGGGGAUAACGUAGUGAGAAUUACGCUAAUACCGCAUACGAUCUAUGGAUGAAAGCGGGGGAUCGCAAGACCUCGCGCGAUUGGAGCGGCCGAUAUCAGAUUAGGUAGUUGGUGGGGUAAAGGCCCACCAAGCCAACGAUCUGUAGCUGGUCUGAGAGGACGACCAGCCACACUGGAACUGAGACACGGUCCAGACUCCUACGGGAGGCAGCAGUGGGGAAUUUUGGACAAUGGGCGAAAGCCUGAUCCAGCCAUUCCGCGCGCAGGAUGAAGGCCCUCGGGUUGUAAACUGCUUUUGUACAGAACGAAAAGGUUUCUACUAAUACUAGGAGCUCAUGACGGUACUGUAAGAAUAAGCACCGGCUAACUACGUGCCAGCCGCCGCCGUAA
rnacentral:rRNA from 1 species